rnacentral:rRNA from 1 species
AGACCCGAAACCCGGUGAUCUAGCCAUGGGCAGGUUGAAGGUUGGGUAACACUAACUGGAGGACCGAACCGACUAAUGUUGAAAAAUUAGCGGAUGACCUGUGGCUGGGGGUGAAAGGCCAAUCAAACCGGGAGAUAGCUGGUUCUCCCCGAAAGCUAUUUAGGUAGCGCCUCGUGAAUUCAUCUCCGGGGGUAGAGCACUGUUUCGGCUAGGGGGCCAUCCCGGCUUACCAACCCGAUGCAAACUGCGAAUACCGGAGAAUGUUAUCACGGGAGACACACGGCGGGUGCUAACGUCCGUCGUGAAGAGGGAAACAACCCAGACCGCCAGCUAAGGUCCCAAAGUCAUGGUUAAGUGGGAAACGAUGUGGGAAGGCCCAGACAGCCAGGAUGUUGGCUUAGAAGCAGCCAUCAUUUAAAGAAAGCGUAAUAGCUCACUGGUCGAGUCGGCCUGCGCGGAAGAUGUAACGGGGCUAAACCAUGCACCGAAGCUGCGGCAGCGACACUCAGGUGUUGUUGGGUAGGGGAGCGUUCUGUAAGCCUGUGAAGGUGGCCUGUGAGGGUUGCUGGAGGUAUCAGAAGUGCGAAUGCUGACAUAAGUA